GGUAAAGUGGCUGAGUAUAGGCGGUAAAUUGUAAAUUUACUAACAAGAAUAAUUCUUUUUUAUCAA
rnacentral:tRNA from 1 species